GACAGAGGCCUCGAGCGUUAGGCGGAAUCACUGGGCUUAAAGCGUGUGUAGGCGGAUCGUUAAGUACCUUGUGAAAUCCCACGGCUCAACCGUGGAACGGCUGGGUAUACUGGCGGUCUUGGGCCAUUCAGGGGGCGACUGGAACAAGCGGUGGAGCGGUGAAAUGCGUAGAUAUCGCUUGGAACGCCGAAGGUGAAAAACAGGUCGCUGGGGGAUGUGCCGACGCUGAGACACGAAAGCCAGGGGGAGCAAAACGGGG
rnacentral:rRNA from 1 species